UGGGGAAUAUUGGACAAUGGGCGAAAGCCUGAUCCAGCCAUGCCGCGUGUGUGAAGAAGGUCUUCGGAUUGUAAAGCACUUUAAGUUGGGAGGAAGGGCAGUAAGCGAAUACCUUGCUGUUUUGACGUUACUGACAGAAUAAGCACCGGCUAACUCUGUGCCAGCAGCCGCGGUAAUACAGAGGGUGCAAGCGUUAAUCGGAAUUACUGGGCGUAAAGCGCGCGUAGGUGGUUCGUUAAGUUGAAUGUGAAAGCCCCGGGCUCGACCUGGGAACUGCAUCCAAAACUGGCGAGCUAGAGUAGGGCAGAGGGUGGUGGAAUUUCCUGUGUAGCGGUGAAAUGCGUAGAUAUAGGAAGGAACACCAGUGGCGAAGGCGACCACCUGGGCUCAUACUGACACUGAGGUGCGAAAGCGUGGGGAGCAAACAGG
rnacentral:rRNA from 1 species